rnacentral:rRNA from 1 species
GACGAACCGUGCGAACGUUGUUCGGAAUCACUGGGCUUAAAGGGCGCGUAGGCGGGUCGGAUAGUCUGCGGUGAAAUACCUCAGCUUAACUGGGGAACUGCCGUGGAUACUGCCGGCCUCGAGGAGGGUAGGGGCAUCUGGAACAGCCGGUGGAGCGGUGAAAUGCGUUGAUAUCGGCUGGAACUCCGGUGGCGAAGGCGAGGUGCUGGACCCUUUCUGACGCUGAGGCGCGAAAGCCAGGGGAGCAAACGGG